GCUCCAAGGGUCCCAAUGUGGGGCCCAGAGUCAGGGCUGGGGUCAGGGGCUGAGCUGUUCCCAUCCCCAUGUCCCCCUGUCCCCGCAGGGCUCCGGGCGGCCGUGACCCUGCUGGAGUGCGGGGGGGACCUCCAGCCCCCCGGGGGGUCCCUGACCUUGCUGUGCCGCGUCUCCGGGUUCGAUGUCGGCGGUUUCCUCAUGUUCUGGAUCCGCCAGAGCCCCGGGCAGGGGCUGGAAUACGUCGGGAGCAUCAGGAAGGAAGGCUGGAGCAACUACGCGCCGUCGCUCAAGGGCCGGGUCACGAUCUGCAGGGACAACGGGCAGAGCUCGGUGACGCUGACCAUGACCGACCUCCGGGACGAGGAUUCCGGAUCCUAUUUCUGUGCCAAGGGUGCUGCUGGUUCCCAUGCUGAAGCUGGUGCUUAGAGUCGUGACCCCGUC